CUACGGGUGGCAGCAGCUAAGAAUCUUCCGCAAUGGGCGCAAGCCUGACGGAGCGACGCCGCGUGGACGAAGAAUGCCGAGAGGUUGUAAAGUCCUUUUAUUUGCGAAGAAUAAUAUCCAUAGGUAAUGAUGGAUAGAUGACGUUAGCUUAUGAAUAAGCUCCGGCCAAUUACGUGCCAGCAGCCGCGGUAACACGUAAGGAGCGAGCGUUGUUCGGAAUUAUUGGGCGUAAAGGGCAUGUAGGCGGUUUUGUAAGUCUGGUGUGAAAGACCACAGCUUAACUGUGGGAACGCACUGGAAACUGUGAGACUAGAAUCAGUGAGGGGUAACCGGAAUUCCUUGUGUAGGGGUGAAAUCUGUUGAUAUAAGGAAGAACACCGAUGGCGAAGGCAGGUUACUGGCGCAUGAUUGACGCUGAUGUGCGAAAGCGUAGGGAGCGAACAGGAUUAGAUACCCGAGUAGUC
rnacentral:rRNA from 1 species